UUGGCCCUGAAUCAAGGCCAACAGUUUGCUGAAGCUGUUGGUUUCAAGCAGGAGCCUAAAGAAAUGUCUUUCUAUGGUCUGUUGGCCAUUUCAGAACUUUGGAAAUGUAAUGGUCAAUUCAUUAGAAAGAAACAUCU
rnacentral:snoRNA from 1 species